UCGUCGUGUCAGGGACUCUUUAAUUACCAGAUUCUGACUAUAUAUUAUUACCGUCUGAUUCUUCACCUAUACCAGACGACCAAAAACAAAAGUGGUAGCGUGUCCAUCUCCGGUGGAAAUCCACAUAAUAAAAAGGAGGAAAGUGAUUCCAAUCUUAUAUAUUACAUAUAUACAUUUUAUAUAAGUUUUAGCUUGUCAUGAUUUGUGUAGGCACAAUAUUUAUUCUUCAGUUUUAGCUUCUCAUAAUUUGUGAUGAUCGGAGCUCGCAGCACGAUCGAUCGAUGUCUCCUCCGAGAUUCCAAUCUCCAUGCAACUAGCGGAAGAAGGAAGUGAUCAUCUGUUUAUACGCACGUCAAUGCAUAUGUGUUAGAGUGACCACUGUGACCUUCGUCGUGGAGAAGCAAGCUGAUCUGUAUUCAUCCGCUAUCCGUAUGCGGCCAUCCAAUCAGGCUCCAUAUGUUCUGAUCGUGAUGUACUGCCCGCUGCUGUGGCUACCCGAGUACCCGGUGACGCGGUCACGCGGAGGCACUCGACUGCGACGACGCGAACAAGCUCGGCUGCGGCGGCGCGGAGAAGCUUCGCCGGGAGGAGAAGCAACAACGCGGAGUCCCCCUCGGCUCCGGUGGUGAGGAGGAGCUUGGCCGGAGGAGGAGCAUCAGCGCGGAGUCCCUCGGCUCUGGCGCCGUGGAGGACGUCGGUUGCGGCGGCGCGGAGUAGCUCAGGUACAGCGGUGUCGAGGAGCUCGACAUCAGAGGAUGGGCACCAGCGUGGAGGAGGUAGGCUGCGGCGGCAUGGAGGAUCUGGGAUGCGGCGGCCUGGUGGAACAGCGUCGACGAAGCCACCGGUGGAACACCACACGAACAGGAAAAUAUUAUUUUCCCACGGUGUGAAGUGUAUGUGUAAAAUAUAUUUAUUAAUAUAAAUAUAAAAAUAAUUUGUAAUCUGUACACGACCUGUGUAGAGUAUAAGAUAUUGAUGAUGAAAUUUAGAAAACACUACGGGAGACGAUGAAUAUAUAGAUAUAGAAUUUUUUUAGAGGGUAUUGUAAAAGACAAUGAAUAUUUCUUAAGAGAAUAAAAUUUAUGGAACAUUGUUGUAUAUAAUCUAU